rnacentral:snRNA from 1 species
AGAUGUGAGGGACAUCUGGCAGCAACCCUGGCCACUCCUGUGUCACCAGGCUGGAAUAAGCUACCUUGCUGGGUGACUCCAUGCUCCCCUCCUCUCUCCUUACUCUUGCCCCAUGUGUGUUCCUCUGCAGUUUGCAUACUCUGUGGAAGAGGAUGGCCUUCCCCAACGUUCUUUGGUUGAGGGUACAUACAGAGUUGCCCAACCCUACUAGAAACUCCAAGCAAUCUCUUGAAGUCACUUUGUAGGAGAAAGUACGUGGUUAAGCUUCCAAGACUCCAGACACAAAGAAAUGAGGUGUUACAUCAAGGCACCUGGCUCU